rnacentral:rRNA from 1 species
ACGGGUGAGUAAUAUAUCGGAACGUGCCCAAUCGUGGGGGAUAACGUAGAGAAAUUUACGCUAAUACCGCAUACUAUCUAAGGAUGAAAGCGGGGGAUCGCAAGACCUCGCGCGAUUGGGGCGGCUGAUAUCAGAUUGGCUUGUUGGUGAGGUAAAAGCUCACCAAGGCGACCAUGUGUUCCUGGUUUGAGAGAACGACCAGCCACUUUGGGACUGAGCACGGCCCAUACUCCUACGGGAGGCAGCAGUGGGGAAUUUUGGACAAUGGGCGAAAGCCUGAUCCUCCACUGCCCCGUGCAGGAACAACGCCUUCGGGUUGUAAACUGCUUUUGUACGGAACGAAACGGUCUGCCCUAAUACUGCGGGCUAAUGACGGUACCGUAACAAUAAGCACCGGCGUACUACGUGCCAGCAGCCGCGGUAAUACGUACGGUGCGAGCGUUAAUCGGAAUUACUGUGCGUAAAGCGUGCGCGACAGUUAUGAUAGACAGUUGUGAAAUCCCCGGGCUCAACCUGGGAAUUGCAUCUGUGACUGCAUAGCUUGAGUACGGUAGAGGGGGGAUGGAAUUCC